UGAGGAAUAUUGGUCAAUGGGCGAGAGCCUGAACCAGCCAAGUAGCGUGAAGGAUGAAGGCUCCUAUGGGUCGUAAACUUCUUUUAUAUGGGAAUAAAGUAUUCCACGUGUGCCAUUUUGUAUGUACCAUAUGAAUAAGG
rnacentral:rRNA from 1 species